UGGGAAUCUUCCGCAAUGGACGAAAGUCUGACGGAGCAACGCCGCGUGUAUGAUGAAGGUCUUCGGAUUGUAAAGUACUGUCAUUGGGGAAGAACGGUUUUCUUGAAAAGAUUGAGAAGACAUGACGGUACCCAAGGAGGAAGCCCCGGCUAACUACGUGCCAGCAGCCGCGGUAAUACGUAGGGGGCAAGCGUUGUCCGGAAAUUAUUGGGCGUAAAGGGCGCGUAGGCGGGCCUUUAAGUCCGGUGUGAAAGAUCAGGGCUCAACCCUGAGAGUGCAUCGGAAACUGGAGGCCUUGAGGACAGGAGAGGAAAGUGGAAUUCCACGUGUAGCGGUGAAAUGCGUAGAUAUGUGGAGGAACACCAGUGGCGAAGGCGACUUUCUGGACUGUAACUGACGCUGAGGCGCGAAAGCGUGGGGAGCAAAACAGGAUUAGAUACCCUGGUAGUCCACGCCGUAAACGAUGAGUGCUAGGUGUAGAGGGUAUCGA
rnacentral:rRNA from 1 species